CAGGAGCCGGUGACCCCGCUCCCCGGACGAGGUGCGUCGUACCCGGACAGCGACAAGACGACGCGAU
rfam:Mycobacterium chubuense strain DSM 44219 MCHTDSM44219_contig000036, whole genome shotgun sequence.